ensembl:lncRNA
GGCCCUGAUUGGCCCCGGGCCCGUACGCAUCCGCAUAUAUAUAUAUAUACGUGUUUGUCUCACUGUAUUCAUUUACUCUGAAAUAACGUGUAUGGAUCUUUAGAUGUUUGUGGAUAAGUGGCACAGCAGUCAGCCCCGGAUGUUUCAGAAACCUAGAAAUACUCCUGGAGGCGGGCGUUUCGACGCGACCGCAUGAUGAAAAGAAAAACACCAACACCCAGACAGUGUGCAGAGCAUCAAUCAGAGACAUGGUUUAAAGAAUGUAUUUUCAUUUGUGCCUUUUGAUAAUAUCUAAAAUGAUACAAGGUGCUGUCUAAGUUGUUUUUCAAAGUCGCUGAUUUUGAAGAUUGAUUGAGCAUGAGCUCAAAUGGAACUAGGUGGCUUAACGUAGAGGCAAACCUGGUUCACUGUACCCACGAUGCCCAUCCCUUUGCAUUAACCUGUUUUAACAGUUGCAUUUGUACCCUCUACAUUCUUUCAUGAACAAGUAUAGUCAUAGGCAGAGUAGAAAAAGUAAACAUAAUAGACUGAAGUCUAUCAUUAUCCUCUCUUAACUGUGGAGUAAUUAGGCUGCAUGUAUUUCACAUAGGUAUUUGGUUUAGUAUUUGCUAUUGACCUUGCAUCCCAUUUGGCUCUGUGAAAAACCUGUUCUGAUCGCCUGUUAACUUGGCUUUAGGCAGCAGGCCACAAACAUCCGUAAUUAAAUAUUAAUAGAGCAGAGUGAAUUAUUAUUAAAUACAUUUUUUUAUAUCAUAAUUGUUAAGGAUAGCAGCGUUGCAUCUUAUUAUAAAAAGAGGAAUGAAGAAAAAUGCCAGCCUGCUUGAUACUGCCAGCUAAUGGAACUACUUUAAUGGAACAUUAUGGGCAGUUUGUCCUCCAGUUUUUUAUCAAGUCCCCGUAAAAUAUUCCCUUAAAUUGUAAACAUCAGAGGCUUCAACAUAGGAACUGUUUUAAAUGUGGAACGUGUUCACUUAUUCAAUAUUGAGAGAUGUGGUUGUUUAUUUGGUACAUGUUUGACAGUUUUGUCUUGGUUAAUGCUUCCAUAAUGUGCCAUUGAAUUGACUUGAACAGACGGAAAGGUCUUAUUUUAAUGUAUCCUACACAUAGUCCCCCCCAUGGCCAAACUGCUGAGCAUGUUUAAGUAUUAAGACUUUAAUGCCAACACUGUCUGGAUGUAAAUCGCCGGAGCAGCAGUAAGAAACACUCAUUUCAUUUGCAGUUGGCCUUUGGAAUACCUGUUCUUCCACAAAUACAUUCAGCCCAGAGCUGUUGUUCAGACUAGGUGUAUCACCCUUGGGUGAGUCAUGGGCCUCUAUAAAUACAAUCAAAACACUCACAAUGUGCACCAGUCUCUCAACUUCUUGAUCAGUAGUGUUGUGUACAGUGCCUGUCAACCAAACAGAUAAGAUGUCUGAGAAGAAAUGCGACAAGCUAGAGGAGUGUGUGCCCGAAGGAGAGUGUGAGGAUCGUGGAAAGGGUUGUGACAAGGGAAAGGGAAAGGAUGGCGACUCUGAUGGAGAAGGGAAGUGCCAUGGAAAGUCGGGUGAACGUGGGGGACACGGACACGGAAGGGGAGGAGGCCCGGACUGUGGAGAGCGUGGUGGAAAGGGUGGUCGUGGGGGAAAGAACAACUAAUGACUUUGUUUUGUCUGAAGUAAAAUAAUAUAUAUAUAUAUAUAUAUAUAUAUAUAUAUAUAUAUAUAUAUAUAUAUAUAUAUAUAAAAGAGACUAACCCUAAACAAGCGUAUCUCCAAUUGUAAUCCAUUGCUUCAUUGUAUUCAAUAAAACAAUUUGACCCAAA